UACGUAGGGUGCGAGCGUUGUCCGGAAUUACUGGGCGUAAAGAGCUCGUAGGUGGUUUGUCGCGUUGUUCGUGAAAACCGGGGGCUUAACCCUCGGCGUGCGGGCGAUACGGGCAGACUUGAGUACUGCAGGGGGAGACUGGAAUUCCUGGUGUAGCGGUGGAAUGCGCAGAUAUCAGGAGGAACACCGGUGGCGAAGGCGGGUCUCUGGGCAGUAACUGACGCUGAGGAGCGAAAAGCGUGGGGAGCGAACAGG
rnacentral:rRNA from 1 species